AGGAUAAUAGUUAAAUUAUAACAUUUAAUUUGCACUUAAAAAUUAUUGAUAAUCAAUUUAUCUUU
rnacentral:tRNA from 1 species